rnacentral:rRNA from 1 species
GACCUCAAAUCAGGUAAAGUACCCGCUGAACUUAAGCAUAUCAAUAAGCGGAGGA